UUAAAGUCUAACCUGCCCACUGAAAUUUUAAAUGGCCGCAGUAUUCUAACUGUGCAAAGGUAGCAUAAUCAUUAGUCUUUUAAUUGAAGGCUGGAAUGAAUGGUUGGACGAGAUAUUAACUGUUUCAUUUAAAGUUUUAUUAGAAUUUUAUUUUUUAGUCAAAAAGCUAAAAUUUAUUUAAAAGACGAGAAGACCCUAUAAAUCUUUAUAUUUUAUUUAUUUUAAUUAUAAAGAUUAAUUUUGUUAUAAUAAAUUAAAAUAUUUUAUUGGGGUGAUAGUAAAAUUUGAAAAACUUUUAAAUUUAAAUCCAUUAAUUUAUGAAUAAUUGAUCCAUUAAUAAUGAUUAAAAAUUUAAGUUACUUUAGGGAUAACAGCGUAAUUUUUUUGGAGAGUUCUUAUCGAUAAAAAAGAUUGCGACCUCGAUGUUGGAUUAAGAUAUAAUUUUGGGUGUAGCCGUUCAAAUUUUAAGUCUGUUCGACUUUUAAAUUCUUACAUGAUCUGAGUUCAAACCGGUGUAAGCCAGGUUGGUUUCUAUCUUUAAAAAAUUAUAAUAUUUUAGUACGAAAGGACCAAAUAUUAAAAUAAUUAUAUUUUAGAAAAGAAUAUUAUUAAUAUAA
rnacentral:rRNA from 1 species